UCGGCGCAGACACGAGUGCCCCCGACUUGAGCCGAACCUCUAGCCGAUGCCGGCGCCGCCGCCGCCGGGGAUGCCCCCAGGUUCCGGAGGAAUGCUCGCUCCCCGCUGGAGUCCUACCAGCCCAACACGGACCUGAGCCGCGACCACGCGGGCUGCAGCCUGCAGCACAUCAGCUACCCGGAGAACGCGGACGCGGAAGCACCGCUGCUCAGCACCCCCGAAGAAACACGGAAUCCAGAGAGGCACAGGCACCGCCCCGGCGCGCACAGCUGCACUCAGCGGCUUCCUUCCUACUACAUACAUACAUAGGAGUGGGAGCCGAGGACCACUUGUUGCUUGCGGACUUCCUCUAGCAUAAAAGAUGGAAAGAAAACACACACCGAAGCAAGGGACCAAAGGAACAGAAAAGAAACGCAGAGAUCAUAGGAAAACUGCAAAGAAAUACUUGAUAAUAUCUUCCAAACGAUUAGAGAAGACAUAACAUUCAUUAAGAAUACACAUAUAGAUGUAUAUAUACGUGUAUGUGUGUAUGUAUAUAUUAUUAUGUGUGCAUAUAUAUGCAUGUGUAUGUGCGUAUAUUUGUAUUAACUGUAGAAGAUAAAGCUAGACACUAGUAAAAGUGGUAAAGCAGAUUUUAAUAAUAUACUAUUGUAAUAGGGAAGAAGGUACCUCGUGAACGGAACUGAACUUUGUGCAGAAGUGACUAGGUGUUUAAGAGGGAGGAGGAGGGAAUGUGAAGGGGAUGAGCAGGAACUCAGUAGUCAGGAAAGUGAAACUUGUGAAGGGUGGGUCAGUGUAAGUAAGGUUAGGCGACAGUGCCUGUUAGAUGGCUGUUAUGGGAGUCAGGGUCCUAUCCUCCCACAGUAACUGGGAGAUAGGCCCUUUGCUUCCUGGUGAUUGCAUGUUGGAGGAAUGGCUUUCAGGUUCUUGAGAAGGAUACUCCUGAUGUGUAGGAGACAUUACAUCCCAGAGAGACAGAGGAAGGAUUCACAAUUGUUUAGUUUUUUGUUGUUGUUGUUAACUCUUUAAGAAAGGGACAUCAGGGGCUGCUUGUAAGGUGUUGGCAAUAGCCAACAGUGAGUUCUUUUGGCAGCUUUCCCAGGAAGAUACUUUAGGGGGUCUGGGGUCAUCCUAUGGAUGCAGCUUUGAGCAGUUAAAAACUAUGUGUUUAGGCCGGGCGCUGUGGCUCACGCCUGUAACCCCAACACUUUGGGAGGCCGAGGCAGGUGCAUCACGGGGUCAGGAAUUCAAGAUCAGCCUGGUCAAGAUGGUGAAACCCCGUCUCUACUAAAAAUACAAAAAAUUAGCUGGGCAUCGUGGUGAGUGCCUGUAGUCCCAGCUACUUGGGAGGCUUGAGGCAGAGAAUUGCUUAACCCAGGAGGCGGAGGUUGCAGUGAGCUGAGAUCGCACCAAUGUAUUCCAGCCGGGGCGACAGAGCGAAACUCCGUCUCAAAAAAAAAGAAAGAAAAAGAAACUGUGUGUUUAAGCGUUUUGAUAUAGGGGGAAGGAUGGACCCGAUCCUUUUUGCUGAAGUCUGCAGAUUUCAUAGGCCAAGGUGGAGGCCUAGUUGAAAAGGGGGCUCAGGGAAGCCUGGCUAGAGCUUGGUCAAGGAGGGGAUCUUCAUCAGUCGUACGUAUGUACAUGGCACGUGGACCUGCAUAGACACGUGUUUGGUGGAGGCUGUCUUAUACGGAUUCUGCACAACUCAAGUCCCCUAAUGGGAACAGACUUGGGGAGGUCACUCUUGAGGCUUUUUGUGGUAUUGUGGCUACUGGGAGACCUGAGGAGGGUUCUGGUCACUAGCAGACUCAUUUCAUUCACCCCUUGGAAUCUGCCCAGGACUUGGACUUCUGUGUAAUAGUAACUUCACGCCCCAAUGAUCCUCCACGUUCCUUGCUGAUGCUGUGAUUGCUCCUCCAAGUUCUCCACCUAUGUCCAUCUGAGCACUUGGUAUUUCUACUCUAGUGUCAAAAGGUCCUGUUCCCAAGUCUCCUCCCAAACAUUUAUUCCAAUUUAUCAUCCAGAUGCCCGUCCUUUGCCAUCCCUCUCUGUUCCAGCAAAGGACACCACCCCUCAGGGAGAUGCUCACAGUGGACUCCUUGUCCUCAUCCUGACUCCCCUUUUCUCUGGCACCCGCAGGCCUCAGUGAGUCUCUCGGUCUCUGGCAGCAGCACAGGUCCUGGACUCGAGCCCAUCUCUCCAUCCCCCCCUCCACUACUCCCCUGGUCCAGCUGUCACCAUUCUCACCCUUGAAUGACUGUCACAGCCUCCCACCUGGUCUUCCUGCUUUACUAUGUUCCCUGCAGGCUGCCUCUGAACUUUUAUAUUGAAAUGAAACUCUUACUGUGGGGAAAACCCCUCCAUUCUCAGACCCCUGGUACCCUUCACUCAUUUACCACUCUGGCCAUCGUUCACUGAGUUCAGGCCACUCUGGCCUCUGCAUGGUCCUCACGCCCACCAGACUCAUGCCCCCUUCAGGGCUAUUGUCAGUUCUACCCCCUUUUCCUACAAAGUUCUUCCCUAUGUCUUCGUUGCCCAGGUGCUCCCUCCCGACAGAGGCCUUGCUGACCACCCCUACCAAGAUUGCCCCACAUUUAUGUAAAUCCAGUCUGUUUAACUAUUAGGGUGAGUGACCUCCAUUCAUACUUGAUAAAUAAUUUACAGUUAUCUAAAUACAGUGCCUGACUCAACAUAAAGACACAGAGGAAGUUUAAAUGGAAAGUUUAAUUCAGGUUACUUUUGUCAGGUAUCUCUCUUACAUACCAAAAUAAAAAUGUAUAAAUACAAAAAAAAAAUUAGCCAGGCGUGGUGGCUAAUUGAGAGGAGAUGGGGAAAAGUGAUGUGGGGUUCCCCAAUGUUGUCCAAGGGGAUUUCUUCUUAGAAAUCUCUCCCUACAUCACUCUUGUAGUGAAAUAAAACCAUCUCCAUGUAAUUUAUUAAUUUUGUUUUUUGAAAAAUAUCCACUAUUUGAAUCUAAAUAUUAUAGAAAUUUCUCUUUAAACAUUCCCUUUUACUUUAUCCCAAAAUAAAUCUCCCUUUGCAUAAAUUUUUUCUUUUUCUUUUUUUUUUUUUGAGACGGAGUCUCGCUCUGUCACCCAGACUGGAGUGCAGUGGUGCGAUCUUGGCUCACUGCAAGCUCCGCCUCCCAGGUUCACGCCAUUCUCUUGCCUCAGCCUCCCGAGUAGCUGGGACUACAGGUGCCCGCCACCACGCCCGGCUAAUUUUUUUUGUGUUUUUAGUGGAGACGGGAUUUCACCAUGUUAGCGAGGAUGGUCCUGAUCUCCUGACCUCAUGAUCCGCCUGCCUCAGCCUCCCAAAGUGCUGGGAUUACAGGUGUGAGCCACCACGCCCGGCCAAAUUUUUCAACAAAUACAUACUCAAGCCAAAAAAUGGUGCUUUAACUUAUGACUUAAAAUUGUUGGGACUAUAACUCUAGAAAAAAUAUUGCAGUUGAGUACCGAAAGUAUUGAUAAAUGAAAUCUGUUUUCAAAGUGCAAUAAUUUUGUAGAGGAUAAAAUAGAAAUUGUUCACCUAGGAGAUUAAUACAUAAAUAAUAUUUACAGAGCAUUGUCUUGAGAAAUGCAGUUUGAUGAUGUUUCAGUUUGAGCAAAAGAUGAGGCUCUAAAGUAUGGCAUUUCUUUUGCUGCUAAUGAGAGAGAAUCCAGACUUUGCUGAUGUGCUCCAGGGUCUCCUGUAUUCUUUAGAUUUGGAGGAAUCAACCAUGAAGGAGCUGGCUGCAGUGUCAGAAGGGGAAGGUGGAAACUUCAACACAAAAAGGGGCUCCCCUAGAUCCACUGGCCUCAGGGACCCUCGGAUGGAGUCAACAUGGGAGAACCUGGCCUGGCAGCUCUGGAGGCCUGAGUGGAGGGGAGAGAACAGCGCUGCCCUAAGACCCAAGCCCUCCUGGGGAAGGGAGCAGCAGGGCUUGGCUCUUGGCUGCCUGGCUGGUGUGGAAAAGCUCCUUGUGAUGGGGUGACUCCCAUGGCCUCUUCCAGGGACUCCAGCAUAGAUAACGUCUCUGCCAGCCCUUCUUGUUGCUUAGAGAGUCUGGAUCUCUCUUCUUUUUUCUUUUCUUCUUUAAACCUCUCUUCUUUGAGUUCUUGAACCAGGGAUGUGAUUUUUAUUUUAUUUUAUUUUUUUGCAAUGGAGUCUUGCUCUUGUUGCCCAGGCUGGAGUGUAAUGGUGCGAUCUCAGCUCACUGCAAUCUCCACCUCCCAGGUUCAAGCAAUUCUCCUGCUCCAGCCUGCUGAGUAGCUGGGAUUACAGGCGCCCGCCACCAUGCCUGGCUAAUUUUUGUAUUGUUAGUAGAGAUGGGUUUCACUGCUGGCCAGGCUGGUCUUGAACUCCUGACUCAGGUGAUCUGUCCACCUCGGCCUCCCAAAGUGUUGAAAUUACAGGUGUGAGCAGCUGUGCCCCGCUGGGAUGUGAAUUUCUGCAUCAGCAUUGCGUUGGUGCUGUUCACCUUAUAAGCAUCUACAAAACUGGGGAUGUUUAAAUACUUUUUCAUACACCGACAUCCUCUAAGGAUCCCUCAAUCUCUGCAGUGUUUUUUUUUUUUUUUUUGUCAUCACUGUGCUUGCCUGUGAGUUGGCAUUUCUCCUCCAUGUGUGAAUCCAGUGUUUCUGCAAGCUGCUUUUCGUAUGUUACAUGGAGUCGAUUCCUAACAGGUUGACUAAGGAAAUGAAAGCCACGAAAGUUAGGAUAGUAGUUCCCUGUGAUGGGGGAGAAGGUGUACCAAACAACUGGGCACACCAGAGCUCCCAAUCUUCAAUAUGUUAACCUGGGUAGUGGGUACACAGGUGUUUGUUUAAUUUUUAUGUUAGAAACUAUGUAUAUAUGGUUUAUAAACUCUUCUGUAUGUGUGACAGAUUUCAAAAUAUAAACAACAUCAAAAAAGUUUUGAAUAAAGAAUUACCUAGGGAACUUGUUAAGAAGGCGGAUUCCUAGUUGCAUUUCAUAUUCUGAUUCCAGAGACCUGGUCAGGACCACAGAAUCCACAUUUUUUUUUUUGAGACAAGAGUUUUGCUCUUGUUGCCCAGGCUGGAGUGCAAUGGUGUGAUCCCGGCUCACCACAACCUCCGCCUCCUGGGUUCAAGCGAUUCUCCUACCUCAGCCUCCCGAGUAGCUGGGAUUACACGCAUGCGCC
rnacentral:lncRNA from 1 species